CAAAACCUCAAGCCUGGCUUGGUAUUGGGUCCAGGGGCCAUCCCGGACCUCAAAUGCGCUGGCUAUUGAUUAGUAAAUGGGAGUGCCGCAGCAGCCGCCGUAACUACUUACUGGCGCGGAAGCUCGCACGCCCUGCCUUGCGCGUUCGCAUCGGUCACGGACCGAACACAA
rnacentral:misc_RNA from 1 species